UACGGAGGGGGCCAGCGUUGUUCGGAAUUAUUGGGCGUAAAGGGCGCGUAGGUGGCCAUGCAAGUCGGAGGUGAAAUCCCUCGGCUCAACUGAGGAACUGCCUCCGAUACUGCAUGGCUUGAGUCCCGGAGAGGGUGGUGGAAUUCCCAGUGUAGCGGUGAAAUGCGUAGAUAUUGGGAGGAACACCUGCGGCGAAGGCGGCUACCUGGACAGAAACUGACGCUGAGGCGCGAAAGCUAGGGGAGCGAACAGG
rnacentral:rRNA from 1 species